rnacentral:rRNA from 1 species
CCUACGGGAGGCAGCAGUGAGGAAUAUUGGUCAAUGGCCUUACGCCUGAACCAGCCAAGUCGCGUGAGGGACGACUGCGCUAUGCGUUGUAAACCUCUUUUGUCAGGGAGCAACGCCGGCUACGAGUAGCCGACCUGGGGGUACCUGAAAAAAAAGCAUCGGCUAAAUCAGUCCCAGCAGCGGCGGAAAAACGGAGGAUGGGAGCGUUAUCCGGAUUUAUUGGGGUUAAAGGGUGCGUAGGCGGAAUGUAAAGUCAGCGUUAAAAGCGCGGGGCUCAACCUCGCCCGGCCGUUGAAACUGGCGUGCUUGAGUGGGCGCGAAGUAUGCGGAAUGCGUGGUGUAGCGGUGAAAUGCAUAGAUAUCACGCAGAACUCCGAUUGCGAAGGCAGCAUACCGGCGCCCAACUGACGCUGAAGCACGAAAGCGUGGGUAUCGAACAGGAUUAGAUACCCCUGUAGUC